rnacentral:rRNA from 1 species
UCAGGCCUAACACAUGCAAGUCGUACGAGGUGUAAAUAAUUCACUUGUGAAUUGUUUAUUACUACAGUGGCGCACGGGUGAGUAACACGUAAGAACCUGCCUUUUGGAGGGGGAUAACAUAGGGAAACCUUUGCUAAUACCCCAUAAAGCUGAGGAGCUAAAUCGCAUUUGCGGCCAAGAGAGGGGCUUGCGCCUGAUUAGCUAGUUGGGGAGGUAAUGGCUUCCCAAGGCCACGAUCAGUAGUUGGUCUGAGAGGAUGAUCAGCCACACUGGGACUGAGACACGGCCCAGACUCCUACGGGAGGCAGCAGUGAGGAAUUUUCCGCAAUGGGCGAAAGCCUGACGGAGCAAUACCGCGUGAAGGAAGAAGGAUCGUGGUCUGUAAACUUCUUUUCUCAGAGAAGAAGAU